GUGGAAGAAGGAGGAGUGUGGAGUGGUCAACAGGCGGUUACGAGAGACGAGGGACGCAACGCACAACGGCGAUUCAUCAACACACUAUAAAGCGCCAUCUUUUGCUCCCAACAUGUUCCUCACACGCUCCCUAACGUUCACACUUUUCUGUCCACUUCCCCUUGCUGUUCCUCACUCUGUGUCUCUGCUUGUUGUCCAACAACCUUCUACCUCGUCAUUUUCUUUGUUAGAUCCCUGUUUUCUCACAUUGCAUUUCUUUUUCCUGGAUUAUCAACUUUCCCACAGUAGCGGUGAGAGUUCCUCGUACUUUAUCCACACGCAGUUUUUCGCUCGCUCUAAUCGUUUGUUAGAACCGUCCAAAAUAUGGUGAAAUGUUUUGUCUUGAUUUGCUGUGCGGUUGUGAAAUUGACUCGGUUGAUUGGAUGUGAGUUGUCGGACGAGGUGCCUUCUUUUGUGCCAAUGCUUGUCGAAACAUCUGGAAACGAAUCGGGAUUUUGGAUGUCUCCAAGGUUGUCAAUUGUCAACUUAUCUUGAAAUUUCUGUGUUUCGGAACUUCCGGUGAUGGCCGACUCCUAGCUCGUAGUGUUAAAUUCACGGUUUUCUUUCCUCUUUUGGAACGGUCUUUAAUUGGUCGCAAACCGAUCGCCAAGUCGAUUCUACAUGAACCUGACAUUGUAAUUUUCAACGGAAUCCUUCGAUUGGUAUUGUAGCAUAAGCUUAUAUAUAGGUGCAAAUGAACUCUACUCCCUCAAAUUACGCGGGAAAGUUUCUUUCUAGGGUCAUUUUAUAUGUGGUAUGAACCGUGCCAGAGUUGAGCAAGUUGGUAAAUGGACAAAGAUCGAACUGACAGUUUAUAUAGAAAUCCUUCAAUUGCUAAUUGUGUGCAUGCAACUCUGAUUUGUAAAUACCAUAUUACCCGAAAUUCAAAUUUAGGGGCUCAUAUCAUGCAUGAAACAUUCUUAACUUUUAUGAAGUCUGCUCCCAUAUUUUCCCUUGUCUGUUAGGCUUGGUGUGAACCACUGAAGCAACAGAAGUCUGCUUUUAUUUGUUCGCAGUGCAUCUUAAUAGACUUGUCACCACGUUCAUAUGCCUAAUAGACUUUAAGCUUGGCCAAAAUUUUGAAGUCCAAUAAAGUGAAUUUUCACUGGAGCUCAGAGUGCCAAGGAGAGAGAAUUGAGGAGGGAGAGUGAAGGAAGGAUCAUUUACUCUGCGCUGACAAUGGCACUGACGGUGAUUUUCCUACCUCAAAUCAAAAUAGAAAUCUGAGAAGUAGCAAUAUUGCAGACGGUGGAAGAUCUGUAGGUUCACUCCACAUCCUGAAAUUCACGGUGACAUGGAGUCUCAGAUUCACCAGCUUGAGCAGGAAGCAUACUCUUCUGUCCUGCGUGCUUUUAAAGCUCAGUCCGAUGCUCUUACUUGGGAGAAAGAAGGUUUGAUAACUGAGCUUAGAAAAGAAUUGAGAGUUUCAGAUGAUGAGCAUAGAGAGCUUCUUACAAGGGUUAAUGCUGAUGAGAUUAUCCAGCGCAUACGGGAAUGGAGACAAACUGGUUGUUAUCAACCUGCAAGGCGCAGCAAUUCUCUGCCUGUUUAUGACUUUUUGCCCAGUCCAACAGUUUCAGCUUCCCAUAAGAAACAGAAGACAUCCCAAUCGGUAGCUUCUUCUGGUCAGUCAUUUCCUAGUUUGCCUUUGGUGAAGCCUAUGCAUUGUCCUUCUUCAGGGUCUGCUGGAGGUAGGCGCUUCAUUAAUCGCAGUUCUUCUAGUGUCCUUCCAUCUAAUGCGCCUGCUGAAGUGGCAACUUUUGAUCCAUAUAUUGGAAAGAAGGUUUGGACUAGAUGGCCUGAAGACAAUCACUUUUAUGAGGCUGUGAUAACCGACUAUAAUGCUGCUGAGGGUCGGCAUGCUCUGGUUUAUGAUAUUAAUACAGCAAAUGAGACUUGGGAAUGGGUUGAUCUUAAAGAGAUCUCACCAGAGGAUAUACGAUGGGAAGAUGAAGAUCCAGCCACAACCCAUAGAGGCAGGCAUAGUGGGCAAUGUCGUGGAGUCAAGAAAUUCCAUUGCCGCGGUGGUAACACUGUGGCUGCUGGAAGAGGGAGAGGACAUGCUGGGGUUCAAAGUCAUAUCAGAAAAGAAUUUUUCCCACCACAAAAUGGUAUUGGAGAUAGAGUUUUAGAUGAUAUUGAAUUCCCAGACACAGAUUUACUGGUUCAGGAGAAAAAUGAUGUUGCUUUAACAGGUGGAGAGGGUUAUAGCCGAGAGUGAUCCAGAUCCUAUGGAACUGGAGAGGGCAAAGGAAAUGCUGAAAGAGCAUGAACAAGCCCUUGUUGACGCAAUUGCCAAGCUAGCAGAUGCAUCUGAUUGUGAAAGUGAUGGAGAACACCCCUACUUGCCAGGGCAACUAAUGGAUAGGGGAUGAGAGCACUGGAGCUGCUUGUAGAGAAAACUAUCCUUGGAUGUUCAAGCUCACAUGGAGUCAAAUUGUGAGGCGAGUGAUGCCCUUAAAAGAACCAACCCAAGCUCAUUAAUGGUCCGCAAAUGGUCGUCCUAUUGAUGCACUUUUUGUGUCAUUUUUUCGUUUUUUGCCCGUCCUGACUCAUUUUUGGUGCCCGUGGCUACUAAGUACAUGGAGAACUCGCGUGUCUAAGGCGCAAAACCAAAUUUUUCAAGUCUGUAUGGGACUGUAAAAUUGCUUUGUUUACGGAUAUAGAGAUUCCAUGUCCUCAACAAAAGUAUCAUCCCAGUGCAUCGAUUUAAUCAUGUAAACAGGCGAUAAACUCUAACACCACAGUCAAAUUUUGCCGCAAGAAGAAAUCCAGGUAAUCACAAAAUGAAAAGGAUCUUUCCAGUUCAAGACAUCUGUGAUAUGAUAUUUCGUUAAAUAUCAGAGUUCUCACCAACACAUGCCAUUCCUAUUGGUUUUGCUUCCCGAAGAUCCUCUGCAAGACUGCAGUAGCUGGACUGAACCGUGAAGGCUAGCACGUCACAACAUAUGCUGACUCGAAUUUUAAAGGAAUUUAUUCUCAUCAAGUUGGUAGGAAGAAUAAUAGGAUGUAAUCUAGAGCAGGUAAUGUUGAGUUUUGAAUGGCACUACUUAUUUCUCA